UAUAAAGACCAGAACUGUUGUCAGAAGUACAAUGGCGACGCUGUGCCGAUGAAGCACCAGGUUUUGAUAGAGCUGCAGUCCUGGUAUUGCAAAGAUGUGGGCAAAGUAUUCGACUGGGUAUAGACGCAGGUAGAGCUAAAAUUAUUAUCCAAUCGGAUGCUGGCGCCAUUUGGUGUUUUAUGAUAAAAACCAGCACGAGUCCUUUCACCCUUAGCUUUGUUUCCCAACUAAGAGAAGUCUGAUAAGUGCUAAGGAAGUAAAGAAUGCAGCUGUCAAUGGGCACGAAUUUCUUCAGGGCUUCCCCCAUUCUGCCAUUGCCACUUCACCUCAAGAGCAGCAGAAACCCCAUGGAGCAGGUUUAAAGACCCUACUCCAAAAUGUCUGACCAGUAAGUUUUAUAUUUUUCAGAUUCUUAUUUUGUAAUCCGAAGAUCAAGAGUUGAAAUACUAAUACUCAGUUCCAUUUUCUAGAGUAUUUCUUUACAAAAAGAAUCGCGUUCAUUCUUUCUCAAACUCAGAAAAUCAUGUAAAAAAUUACACUAAUAAUUAUGUUUUGGUUUUUUGAUGCAAGUUAUAUCAGAAUAAUGUUUUUGUUUGCAAAGCUGAUAGACAAUAUCCUCCAAAAGAUUGGUGAUUUUGCAUUUCACUGAACAAUUUUAUUGUAACAUUGUGCUGCAAGUGAUUUUACUCUCUUUGUGAUAUGUGUAUUUAGCAUAUGAUGGGCUCGGAAUUCAUCAUUUAAUGGCUGAUGAUUGCCCUCUAAACAAUGUGAAAAUGUGGGCCAGAUAAAUGCCAUAAAAAACUUGAAAUAUGGGACUUAUCCAUUUAAAUACAUCUAGUUACCUUUUGCCUCAGAUUAAUGAAUAAUGCAUGCUAGAAAAUAAUUUGUGCUUAACCAAGGAUGCCAAUUAGUAAUCAAAGAACUCAGUUUAGUUGCAAUUUAUUUCAAGCAAGGCAUCUUUUGAAUCUAUUAAAAGGACAGAAAGAAUCUUUAAACAUAAAACGUAUGAACAUGAUGCAUUGAAUGGUGGUAAAUUAAGUAUAGUAAAAAAGAAAAUUUUAAUGCAAACAGUCAAUAAAUCAAUGUGAAACUUGAUGCUGUUUGUUUCUUGAAAGUUUCUCAAUAUUGGGUGUCAGACUUGUUGAUGCCAAGAGCAAGACAUUAUCCAGAUGGGCAUCAGUCAAUCUUGUUCUCAAAUGGGUCUUGGUGUGCUUCAUUUUUGAAAAUAAUUGCUCACACAGAUAAGUGCUGCCAAACAAUGAUGCCAUCUUAUUUUCAUGGUCCACUAAGUUAGGAUACUUUCCACUUGGAUGAAUAUAUAUUUCUAUAGAAGUCAAGUACUGACACAUUUUCAGAAUGAAAUUUCGAUCUCAAUAUCAAUUCCAUUUGAAAAAUUUAUGAUGCAGUGUCCACUUCCACAUCAAAUAGAGUAGCAAGCAACUUGAACUCAUUUCAAAAUCAGCAAAACGAAAUGAAAACUCUUUUCUCAAUUCAUGGACCAUAUUCAAAAAAAUGCCUGGAUCUUGUACUUUACUUUUUUGAAAAGUGGGAAAAUGCGUCCAAGCGUCUUGGAAAUUUCGGCACUUAGUGUCUACUUUCCUGCGUUUUGCAUUCAUUGCCAUUGGAAUUUUUUUCUUCGAUUUUAUUUUGAAACUUGAGUUAUUCAACAAGUAUCGUAGCACAUGUAAAUAUCUGGAUAUUUAGCGUGGAUUUCUUGUUAAAACACAGUGACACUGUUUCUGUUUACAAAUUUGAAUGAUCCCAUCAGAAAACCUGCGUGUGCACGGAGAGUAUCUAAUACAUAUUAAUAAGGUAGUCUGCCUUCUCGUCAUUCGUAUAUACCAGUGUUUGGUUUGGAACAAAACGGAACCUGGGGCCAGUGUAACAAGACGCCAUGCAUGUCCAUCAAUGUGGUUGCGUGAAACAUUCAGAAUAAGGAAAAAUCGCUCGCGGGCCGGAUAAGCAUAGUAUCCCAAUAUUUGCUCACGGGCCGAUCAAAAUACCUUCGCAGGCCGGAUCUGGCCGGUGGGCCACAGGUUGCCUACCCCUGUUUUAAACUUACAUUUCACUUUAAAAAUGGUUCGACUCGUGGCUAUGCCUGGUGUGUGCAAGAAUUAAGGUAGCCAAAUAUGUGUCGAAUGGAGAUUUUAAAAGGCCAAACAUUGUCAAUGUUUGUUGACCAAACUUUGUCAAUAGUCUGGUCCAUGGUAAGAGCAUGUAUUUCUCAUAACCUGAAAGAACAAAUGUAAGACUAAUCCAUAUCUUUUGAACAUUUGCCCAAAUCACCAUAUAAGUGAGCAGUUAAUCAAAGUUAUGAACAGAAAUUUGAGUGAUUAGGAUCACCUCUAUAUUUUUACUAUAUUUGAAAUACUAUGUAUUUGGAAUACUCCAAUUAUGACGUAUUCUCUAAUGCACAUAUUUUCUUUCUCUCUCUUUCUCUUUUAGGGAAGAGGUAAGGGAUAUUAACAAACUUCAAGGUUUUCUCCAUAGCAAUUGUAUUUUUGAUUAUCCGCAUGUUUUAAUAUCUAAUUUGAAUCCGUUUGGAUGGCCUACCUGA